GGGACUCCAUAUUAACUAUCCGCAUCGUCGAUGUGAAACAAUCUCAACAAAAUGUCGGCUACAAUCAAGUUUCUAUCCGUUUUCUAUCUGUGUGUGGUGCUGGGCGCAGUAUUUGCGAAUCACAAUGCAGUCGAUUCUAACACAAUGACUUAUCGAGUUGCUGACGUUGCAAAUAUCGAGAAAAUAGUUAUACAUUUGUUGAGUUCUGAUAACAAGAUGAUGGGGCAAGCUGGUAAUAAUGUACACGGCAACAAUGGUCAGCACAAUAAGCGUGUCAAAAGGGAACUGGCAAAGGAUAUAGAAAACGACACGACAUACUUAGCACGCUUCCUCUAAUGUUCAAACACAUGCUGGGAUCAAUGACGACAGACAACUUGGAACACCUGUUGGGCUGGUGGUGGACGAGGAAGCAGCCAACGUUGGACAUCAAACAAUUAUAACGACCUUCGCAUGCAUAAAUACUAAUAUAUUAAGCUUUUGUUUUGUUUGUGUUUUUGUCUCAAUAAAAGUUUGUGUGGUUUCA